UACGAAGGGGGCUAGCGUUGUUCGGAAUCACUGGGCGUAAAGCGCACGUAGGCGGAUGUGCCAGUCAGGGGUGAAAUCCCGGAGCUCAACUCCGGAACUGCCUCUGAUACAGCACGUCUUGAGUUCGAGAGAGGUGGGUGGAAUUCCUAGUGUAGAGGUGAAAUUCGUAGAUAUUAGGAAGAACACCGGUGGCGAAGGCGGCCCACUGGCUCGAUACUGACGCUGAGGCGCGAAAGCGUGGGGAGCAAACAGG
rnacentral:rRNA from 1 species